CAGUGAUCUAACAGCAGGAGGGAGUCACAUCCUGCAUCUGUUCAUUCAUACUGAACUAGUUUUAGUUUGAUAACAUGACUGCUAUCAGACGCAGCUUCCUCAGCUUGUUUCUUUACAUUAUCUGGAUAAAAGGUCUAACUGAUGGGACGAUUGUCACUCAGACUCCUCUGCUGUGGAUGGUCCAGGGUCUGUCUGCCACCAUGAACUGCAGUCACAAUAAAGAUGCUUCUUACUUCCAGAUGUACUGGUACCAACAGCUGCCUGGUCAGAACAUGAAGGAAAUAGUAUUUACCACAACAACUCCUCCACAUAAGUAUGAAAAAGGCUUCAGCGAGGAGAAAUUUCCAGCAGAGAAGAAGGUUGCAGAGAAAGGUUCACUGACAGUGAAGAAUCUGCAGCCUGGAGACAGUGGAGUGUAUUUCUGUGCUGUGAGUCAACACAGUGAUUGAGCUGAUUAAAAGAGCUGCACAAAAACCCAGCUGCUGGAGACCCAGAGAACUAAAGACACCAUUACACCU